AUUAGGGAGCCGCGGACGAGGUUCCUCAAUUUGCGAUAGCUCGAACUAACUGAUCAGUUUAAGAACUCAUAAAGCAUUGAGAUUUUACUGCAGGUUAAAACCACAGUUUAACUGGGGAAACCCUGACUCUGGGUUUAAAUUACUACUUCUAAUUAACAUUUUUUCUUUUGCCCUAAACUCAAUCUUUUCUGAAGUUACUUUUAUAAUUUUGAAGUCAUGAAUAGAAAUGAGAAAAAUAUUCAGCAUUUUUUACCAACCUUAUGCAUAAAAAUGUUAAGAGAUUGUGUAUGAUCAACGACAUUAAAUUGCUUUCCUUCCAAAAAUUAGAAUAAAGUUUUUCUUGCCAGUCUUUUGUAUGAGAAGCUUUAUGCUUCUUACCUGCUGCCAAAUUUUAAUUUCUAGGUGAGUUAUAGUUGUAGCAGUAUAUACUUUGUCAGUUUAAACCAGGGAUAUGAUGUUUUUAAAACCGAUAGUGUCUUGCUUUUGAAACCUGUUUUAAAAGAGUCCUUUUAAAAAUUAGGUCUUGUUUUGGAUGAAGAUCACAUUCUGGCAGGAACCCUAAUGUGUGAAAAUCACAAAUACUUAAAAUAAUACAGUUUCAUGCUUUGAAAAUGUAUUUAUGAUGAAGUGACAGGAAUGUAAUGUAAAAUGUGAAAAAAAUAAUUCUAAUGUGAUUCAGGAAUAGUUAAGGUUACAGUAUCAGUGAAAUUGAGGAAAGAUGGAAAUAGCCUUAAUAAUGGAAAAUGAAUUACCUGAUAGAACGUUUUGAAGAAAUGUUUAGAUUAAUAUGAGAAUACUCAUAUUGAUCAUUUUAGUAAAAUCCUAUCUCAGCUACCAUAGGUGCAUCUCUCUUCCUGGGGGCCACAGAAGUCUAAAUGAAGCAGCAUCCAGCAACAGUAUAGUGGGCCUUGAAACUAUCCUGUCAGGCUGGAGAGUUCUGAAAACCCUCUGGGAGGUGAAGAAGCUUUGGUGGCUUGUGGAGCUUCACAGUGCUAGGAUCUGUCUUGUGGCUAGCAGAAGGAGAUGCCAGGGAGUCAGUGGGGGCACUGGAGAGCGUAAAAAGAAAAGGAGACAACAUAAUGCAUUAUCUAAAGAAAGGGAUGGAUUUCAGGGAAUUGGGAAAGUACAUAGCAUAUUUGUCCACUUAUCAAAACUUCACCAUUAAGCUACUCUUGGGUCAAAUUGACUGUAUUUCAGGAGAAGUCUCCUGACUAGAAUGUUAGUGAAAAAAAAAAGGAGACCAAAUGAAGAGCACUUUGUCCUUUAGCCACCAUGUUUAAGUUUUCUUACGAGUACUUUUUUUUUUUUUUUUGCAACAAAUACAGCCAUUAUAAAUAUUAAGUCUCAUGUAGCUCCUUGCCGAGCUUUUGUUGCAACAGCUUAAUAAUAACAGUAUCACCAAGCCUUCUCCCUGGGGACUGCCAUGCAACAGUUCUUUUGAAGACAUGCUUGACCCCGCCUCACUUGCUUCUACCUGGCUGAUCAGAGGGACCAGCUGUGAUACAGUGUCUACAGAAGAGGUAUGGGCCCACGCUUUCACUGAUGUUACCGUCCCCUGCCAUUUCUCCUUUGUGGAGGGCACAGAAAAUCUUGAGUUUUCUUGGGAAAAAGAAGACAUCCAAGAGGAACAUGAAGUAGAAAAUGAUUAGGAUGUUAUCACUUCUUUAGUUACUAUGAUUUUUUGACGUUUUCUCAAAGUUGAUUUACCAGUUUCACAAUAAUACAGAGCAACUAGAGGACCAGAACUACUUGUAUGAGGGAAGAGUCUCCGUGGAUUGGACUGAAAUUUCUGAGGGGACUCUUAUCACUUUUACUCAGAAAUGUGGAUUUCAUGGAUGAAGCCAUCUACAAGUGCUCAGCCAUCACACCGCAUGAAAGAGGCAAAAGUACAAUUAAGCUAACAGUAGAAGACUCUGAAAUGCCCCAAGUGCAGUUUGAUAGGAUUGAUGAUGAAGCUGUGGCCAAAUGCAUCUCCAGGGGCUGGUACCUCGCAUCCAAUGUGACCUGGCUGGACUGGGCCGAGAGGGAGGGCCGAGAGGGACCUGAGCAACCAUAGUACCAUGGAGGUCCUGGAGAAGCAGAUGAAUGGCUUCUACAGGGUUUUCUCCAUCCUGAAAUACCCUGUCAAGUUGAAUGAAAAAUAUAUCUGCUGCAUAACAGACAGAUGUGAACCACCAGCCCUUCAGAAUCAUCUGCAAGUAUCCGAGUAAGUGAGUGAAAGCAGGGUAUGUUUCACCACAGAGAUGUCAUUGGUUAUUAAUAAUUACUGAAUGCCAAAUGUAUCAGGCACUUCUGGGCACUUUGGAGAUUUAAAGAAGCACCAGGAACAUAAGCCUGUAGCCUGAGACAACAGAAGGUGAUGAGAUGGAGUCUCUUUGGGUUUGAAAAGAGACCACAUACUUCAGGGACUGAUAGCUUUCAUCCUGAUUGAUAUGGCUGUUACUAAUGAUGAGGCUUCUGUUCCCCUGCUAAGGACAUCAGCUUUAUGAUGUGACAGGCUGAGUAGUCAUAGCUGCCAUUUAUCAGCCUCUCACCACAUGCCUGGCACUUUAUAUAUUUCAUUUUAAGUCCUUGACUCAACCCUGCAAGGUAAUUGUUGUUCCCCUCCUAU